rnacentral:tRNA from 1 species
GGGCCUUUAGCUCAUUUGGAUAGAGCAUCGGCCUUCUAAGCCGAGGGUAACAGGUUCGAAUCCUGUAAGGCCCGCCA